rnacentral:rRNA from 1 species
GACGAACGCUGGCGGCGUGCCUAAUACAUGCAAGUUGAGCGAUGAAGCUUGGUGCUUGCACCAAUUUGAAGAGCAGCGAACGGGUGAGUAACGCGUGGGGAAUCUGCCUUUGAGCGGGGGACAACAUUUGGAAACGAAUGCUAAUACCGCAUAAUAACUUUAAACAUAAGUUUUAAGUUUGAAAGAUGCAAUUGCAUCACUCAAAGAUGAUCCCGCGUUGUAUUAGCUAGUUGGUGAGGUAAAGGCUCACCAAGGCGAUGAUACAUAGCCGACCUGAGAGGGUGAUUGGCCACAUUGGGACUGAGACACGGCCCAAACUCCUACGGGAGGCAGCAGUAGGGAAUCUUUGGCAAUGGACGAAAGUCUGACCGAGCAACGCCGCGUGAGUGAAGAAGGUUUUCGGAUCGUAAAACUCUGUUGGUAGAGAAGAACGUUGGUGAGAGUGGAAAGCUCAUCAAGUGACGGUAACUACCCAGAAAGGGACGGCUAACUACGUG